UACAGGGGGUGCAAACGUUGCUCGGAAUUAUUGGGCGUAAAGAGCGCGUAGGCGGUCCGAUAAGUCGGCUGUGAAAGUCAGAGGCUCAACCUUUGAAAGCCGGUGGAUACUGGAUGGCUAGAGUACGGAAGAGGCGAGUGGAAUUCCUGGUGUAGCGGUGGAAUGCGCAGAUAUCAGGAGGAACACCAAUAGCGAAGGCAGCUCGCUGGGACGUACUGACACUAAGGCGCGAAAGCGUGGGGAGCGAACAGG
rnacentral:rRNA from 1 species